GACGAACGCUGGCGGCGUGCUUAACACAUGCAAGUCGAACGGAAAGGCCCUGCUUGCAGGGUACUCGAGUGGCGAACGGGUGAGUAACACGUGGGUGAUCUGCCCUGCACUUCGGGAUAAGCCUGGGAAACUGGGUCUAAUACCGGAUAGGAGCCAUUUUUAGUGUGAUGGUUGGAAAGUUUUUUCGGUGUGGGAUGAGCUCGCGGCCUAUCAGCUUGUUGGUGGGGUAAUGGCCUACCAAGGCGGCGACGGGUAGCCGGCCUGAGAGGGUGGACGGCCACAAUGGGACUGAGAUACGGCCCAGGAGUCUACGGGAGGCAGCAGGGGGGAAUAUUGCACAAUGGGCGCAAGCCUGAUGCAGCGAAGCCGCGGGGGGGAUGACGGCCUUCGGGUUGUAAACUCCUUUCGCUAGGUACGAAGCUUUUUGUGACGGUACCUAGAUAAGAAGCACCGGCUAACUACGUG
rnacentral:rRNA from 1 species